ACGAACGCUGGCGGCGUGCUUAACACAUGCAAGUCGAACGGAAAGGCCCUGCUUGCCGGGUGCUCGAGUGGCGAACGGGUGAGUAACACGUGGGUGAUCUGCCCCUUACUUUGGGAUAAGCCUGGGAAACUGGGUCUAAUACUGGAUAGGACCAUGCUGUAGGUGGUGUGGUGGAAAGAUUAGUUUCGGUAAGGGAUGAGCUCGCGGCCUAUCAGCGUGUUGGUGGGGUAAUGGCCUACCAAGGCGUCGACGGGUAGCCGGCCUGAGAGGGUGGACGGCCACAUUGGGACUGAGAUACGGCCCAGACUCCUACGGGAGGCAGCAGUGGGGAAUAUUGCACAAUGGGCGCAAGCCUGAUGCAGCGACGCCGCGUGGGGGAUGACGGCCUUCGGGUUGUAAACUCCUUUCAGCCAUGACGAAGCCCUUGUGGUGACGGUAGUGGUAGAAGAAGCACCGGCUAACUACGUG
rnacentral:rRNA from 1 species